AAAAAGAUCUUCUAUUUCAUGAAAAGAUUAACUUGUAUAUUGAGUUUAAUUUUUAACCGAUGAAAGAACAACUGCUAUCCUAAAAACAAAGUUUGAUUGUACCAUGAUUAAAACUCUUGGGCUCAGAGUGAAAUGAGCUUUGUGGAUACUUUACUGACAUCAAGAAAUGGAUACUAUUUCCUGUGAAAAAUUUGGAAGCAAGAAGAGAUCCAAUGGGAGUUUUACAGGAUGCAAGCUAUGAAAAAAGUAGAGCAGAAUUAACAUCUGCAUUUAACUAACCAUUGCCCCAGUCAAGAGGCCCUCCUUUUACAAGUAAGGAUGUCAUUUUUAGAUGUUUAUAGCAUGUGGACACUUCACAAGUGAUGAAAAUGUACACAGAGUAAACCAAAUGCAUUUGUCAUGCAGCCAAUGUCGUUGUGUGAUCAGACCCAACUUAAAAUAUAAAUGUUUUUCUUCAAAAUGAUCUUUUUCCCAAAACAUGUUUGAAUUACUCCUGCAUUUGGCAUGACAACUAUAGAUUUUAAAGACACUGUUCUACAUCUAAAAUACCUGUUCAGAUUUAGGAAAACUACUAUAAACAGGCCUUAUUCCAAAGGAAUAAGUUCUUGGACUUUCACAGGAAUUUGCCUUAUGACUUCUUGGAAACCUUUGUAAAAAAUACUCUGGAUCUUAUUAUUCUGGGCUUCACAGUCAUAUCAAAUGCAGAGACUAAACCAGUUUAAAAGGAACUUGUGAUGAUUAUCACUGCAUUUAUUUUCAACAGGUGAAAACUGCUGGAAAGGAUGGAACAAAUUUUCUGCAGCAAGCUGGGAAAUCUUUCCCAGACUAAAAUUUACAAACAUACAGAGAAACAAUUUUUUUUUAAAAUCAAAAAUAAACUAAAACUACCUUGUAUGAUACCAAGCAAAUUUCCAAACACUAGCUUUGGGUUCACCUUCACUUGGAAUGGUGUGCAAUAUAUCUGGAAUUGGCUGUUAAAAGGGGUAGGAAUGCAGCCCUACCAUCUUCCAUGGCAUCAUCCACAAAGGUUCAAGAAUUUUUCUACUGUAUUGACAAUAUAUUAAUUGAAGGAAAAACCAUCAAAACAGUACUAAGUAAUAACAUCACAUAAUCUUUGUCUUUUCCCCAACCUGAAUGAUUAAUCUGAAGCCAGCAUGAAGGCUGAACUCCUCAGGCUAUAAAAUGCCCCAGUGUACGACAUGUUAAUAUAUGCUGAAGAGGCUGCCAUGAAUUUGCAGAAGUAAUGGCCUUUUUUCAGCUUAGAACAUAUUUGGGAGCCUCAGUGGCCCUGAGAAUAUGUAUACACAGCCUCCUGAGUGCUCAAUAAUGUAGUGCAGAAAUGGCUCAAAGCCUGGUGUCAUGUUAAUCAGCAGCAGUGAGGAAAAACAUUUUCAGCAUCAAAAGAAUGGAAAAUAAUACAACAGCUACUCAGAGAAACAUCUAUGUGAACACGUGAUGUAAAUAAGAAAACCUGAAUUCAAAGGUCAUUUAAGAAGCAUAGUAACCAGGCUCAGCAGUUAGCCAGAGAGGCUUAUGGUGUGGGCACAAAGUAAAGCUGUUUUUAGCCAGGUAGGUCCAUGAAAUUUCUGCUCAUGUACUGAGGAAGAAAACACAUCUUAGACUUGUCUCAGGAAGCCAUAGUGCAAGCAAUCAAACCGUGUGAAAUCAGUAGAACAAAAGGACAUGCACGAAAAGUAUGAAUGUUGAAACAGUAAAUGUCAUGGGAGAAAGGGAAGUUUGAAGAAGCCUGGAAAGUAGAUCAGCCCCCUUUAUCUUUACAACACCGGUCUGUGCAGCAGCAAAGUCAUACAAGAUUUUCUUCUUGAAAAGAUAAUAUAGGUGGUAUCCUAGGCGCAAUAUAUGUAUGUGUUGGCAUGAUGGAAUACAGCCUUGCCUAGUCUUAGCAGUAAUCAUUUCAAAACCACAGCUGUCGAAGAAUGAAGGGAAGAUUGUGGAGCAGAGCAAGCGUAUCAUAUUCCUUCUAAUCCCUUGGCAUCUGGAAAGGUAGAACUGUACAUCUCACUUGAAACGGCACUCCAGGAAGAGGGUAUCUCAACUCUAUGAAGUUGGGGGAGAGCCAGUUAAUACAAAUGUAGGAACUCAUCAUAGCAUUCCCACAAAAAGCCAUUUAUCACAAUUUCAGCUGGGUGAUAAAGUACCAGCCAGCCCCUCGGACAUCAGAAUUAGGACACAAGGUUGUGUCUAUCCUCCUGCAACAAUUGAAAUCCCUAAGGAAGAAGUCCUUAUCACUUGAGGACCAGGAAUUACCUACUAGGCAGCCUUUGAAAAAAUUAUAAAAAAAUUAUAUAUGUGCUGUUAUGUACCAUAAAUAGUCUUAAUUUACUUCAAAGCCAUACCAUGUGUUUUGGAGACACAAGAUGUAGGUAUUUGAAGGUUUAUGUCUAAACAAUUCCUGGCUACAUGUUGCUCAAGAACAUGUUGCAUGGAUGAUCCAUUCCUGGAAAUGUUCAGGUUGGAUGGGGAUUUGAGCAAUGUGGUCUCAUGGAAGGUGUCCAGGCCUAUAGCAGACGAUUCCAAUUUUAAGGCCUCUACCAACCCAAACCAUACUGUGGUUCUAUUGCAUUGGUCAAUGAAAGAACAGGACAUGAACUUGGCAGGGUUUCACCAGCAGGCUGCCCUGUCUGGGAAGAGGCCAUGAACUGUCCCGUGCCACUUACAGUCAUGUCAUGGCAGCACUGACACCGCUAGUGCAUACCUAUCUUGGUUUGGAAGAUGGAUAUCUGCCAAGGGAGGUGGGAACCUCCCUUGGAAUGGAGAAUAUGACUUUCUUCCCUCUGAAUUAUUUUAACCUUGAAAUUAAGGAGAUUACAGGCAAAGAUAUGGGGAAAGGAGUAACAUUUCUUUGCUGGUAGGUGGGUGUAUAACAAGACAAACAACCGCACCGGCAGCGGCCGCAAGCCGAGCAGGAGCCAGCGACGCUUCCCGGCCGCGGGCAUUUCCCCUGGCUGCAGCCCCAGGCCCGGCCGGCAAGGGGCGCUGUGCCGCGGGCUCCCUCACGCCGUGAGGGCGGAUGGGCUGCAUGGCGGAACGGGCCUGCAGGAACUCCGGAGCCGCCGCUGGAGCGGCAGGGCGGCCUCACCCGGGGAGUACUAUUGAAGUCAACAUUAUCUAGUGGUUAGUAGCUCCCAUUUUUUGCCAGACUCCAAGACAAGAAGACAGAAAAGAAAGAGAAAACUCACUGAAGUUCUUAAACAGGAUUAUUCUGGAGAAACUAGAUAGUCCCUGGCUUGGACAUGUGCAUUAUUCACUUCAUAAAAACUGGGAGGAUGGCUGGGCCCAGAGAAUGAUGAACAUUAUUUCACACAACAGCCACAAGGAGAAAGUCACAGGAAGGGAACAGCUGUUAACAAGCCCUUAACAAAUCACUUUAGUGGCCUUUUAGGCCAAGAGGUACUUCUGGGAUACAAGUGCUGUGAGGAGGACAUUUGGACUUGUGUUCUCUCUAUGUCAAGCACUUAAAGAAACUGAAUUAAUCCACCAUCACAUUGUUCCCAUGGGAGAAGGAGAUUGUACCCUUCACAUUUAAGCAAGAAGCAACUGAGAUGCAGAAGAACCCAGGGAAAAUCUUCCCACUGUUUGGAAAGUCCAGCCUGAAUUCUCUGCAGUCUGAUUUUUUGAGAGUGCCUUAUAUUAGCACUUGGGUUUAAGGUGCAGCUUGCAAGAAGCAGGGUGCUAACACUCAUAAAUUUUGAUGAUAACAUAAUUAGAGAAGUACACAGUUUCGGAUUCUGUGAGAAUACUUCUUAAAAAAGCACUGUAACAGUGCACUGAUACUUCAGUGACUCAGCUGGCUCCACUAGAGCAUAAAACAGGUAUUAUAUGAAGAACAAAUUGGACCCUUUCUACCACAUAUUUAUAGAAAUUUGUUCUUACGCUAGCACAGAUAAUAUGAGAUUCCAAACUAGCAAUCACAUUGCCAUCAUGAGGCUCCACGACUUGUUAUGUGUCACUCUAUCACUCUGAUGAUAGCUAUUUAUCUUAGAUCACAGCUUUCCUAGACACAGCCUAAAUUAUUUGCCUCUCAAGAGACAGCGGUCAGGCUUUCUGCAAGUGAUAAAGAGGAAAAAUAUGCUGAUCGAGUGCAAUACACAGGUGCUUUUAAACACAUCACUGCACUAGUUUUUGUUUUCAGUGGCUUGAUCUUGAGAGCCUGUUUACUGACUGAAACAGCUGAGGGCAAACCUUUAUAUCUGGAAGGGAUUAUAGAAUGACAGUAUUAUCCAGG